UACGUAAGCAGCGAGCGUUGUUCGGAGUUACUGGGCGUAAAGGGUGUGUAGGCGGUUGUUUAAGUUUGGUGUGAAAUCUCCCGGCUCAACUGGGAGGGUGCGCCGAAUACUGAAUGACUUCGAGUGCGGGAGAGGAGAGUGGAAUUCCUGGUGUAGCGGUGAAAUGCGUAGAUAUCAGGAGGAACACCGGUGGUGUAGACGGCUCUCUGGACCGUAACUGACGCUGAGACACGAAAGCGUGGGUAGCAAACAGG
rnacentral:rRNA from 1 species